rnacentral:rRNA from 1 species
AGCGAACGCUGGCGGCAUGCCUAACACAUGCAAGUCUGACGGGUGGGCUUUCGGGCCUAUCAGUGGCGGACGGGUGAGGAGCGCGUAGGAACGUAUCCAGGGGUGGGGGACAACCGCGGGAAACUGCGGCUAAUACCGCAUGGGGCCUGAGGGCCAAAGCUUGAGUGAUCGAGCGCCUGUGGAGCGGCCUGCGUCCGAUUAGCUGGUUGGUGGGGUAACGGCCUACCAAGGCGGUGAUCGGUAGCUGGUCUGAGAGGAUGAUCAGCCACACUGGGAC